GACAUUGUGAUCACAGAGCUGAUGAAGAAACUGGAUAUUCUGGGGGAUAACGCCAAUCUGACCAACGAAGAGCAAGUUGUGGUUAUUCAUGCCAGAACAGUAUUAACAUUAGCCGAGAAGUGGUUAGAGCAAAUUGAAGUCACCAAAUCAGCAUUACAGCAGAAAAUGUUGGACAUCGAAAGUGAAAAGG